rnacentral:lncRNA from 1 species
GUAGAAAUAGCUAGAACAUGUUACCGGGACUUCAAAACUGCAUAGAACGUUAAAAAUGGAGCUCGGAAUCAUUCACUAUUGAGCUUCGAAGCUUGGAAAAACCCUAAACAGGGCUGCUCUUGGUACAUUCGGUGGAAUCAAGAAGAAAAGGACACAUUUGGGUUUUAAAAUUUGUCUUUUAAUUCAUUUUACCCCUUAAUG